rnacentral:rRNA from 1 species
UACGUAGGGUGCGAGCGUUGUUCGGAGUUACUGGGCGUAAAGAGCUCGUAGGUGGUUUGUCGCGUUGUUCGUGAAAACUCACAGCUCAACUGUGGGCGUGCGGGCGAUACGGGCAGACUAGAGUACUGCAGGGGAGACUGGAAUUCCUGGUGUAGCGGUGGAAUGCGCAGAUAUCAGGAGGAACACCGGUGGCGAAGGCGGAUCUCUGGGCCUUACCUGACGCUGAGGCGCGAAAGCUAGGGGAGCAAACAGG